UAUUCAAAUAAGAACCUUGAAGUAUGAAGUGGAAAGGGGUUCCACGGGAACAGCAGCUGGUUGUGGGUCAGGCGGUCCUAAGUGAUCCGUUAACUCGGAACAGAGAAGGGGUGCCUGACAUUGUCAGGAUUCUUUUUGAUGUACCAUUUCAAGGCAGUCUUCUAUAGGAAAUCGAGUUAAUAUUCCUGAUCCUGUCCAUGGAGAGUGGUACAUACUGGUCUCCCACCGGUUCGCAUCUAGCACGGUAACGCAACCGAUCUCGGAGACGUCGGCAAUAGUUCUGGGAAGAGUUCUCCUUUCUUUAUUCAGAGUGCGCCAUCCACUGGAACCCGGUUAUCAAGAGAUUGGGGAUUAGCCUCCGUAAAGCACCACAUUUCUUGUGAUGUCCCGAACGCUCUUGUCGGCCCUUGAAAACCCGAGCGACGUAAUGUAUUUCUCGUGGCAGGCCGUACUCAUAUCCGCAUCGGGUCCCCAAGGUGCAGAAUAUUUUCCAGAC
rnacentral:ncRNA from 1 species